rnacentral:rRNA from 1 species
UCCUACGGGGCGCAGCAGUGAGGAAUAUUGGUCAAUGGGCUUACGCCUGAACCAGCCAAGUCGCGUGAGGGAAGACUGCCCUAUGGGUUGUAAACCUCUUUUGUCAGGGAGCAAUUGGCGCUACGUGUAGCGUUAUCGAGAGUACCUGAAGAAAAAGCAUCGGCUAACUCCGUGCCAGCAGCCGCGGUAAUACGAAGGAUGCGAGCGUUAUUCGGAUUUAUUGGGUUUAAAGGGUGCGUAGGCGGAAUGCCAAGUCAGCGGUAAAAUCGCGGGGCUCAACCUCGCUCGGCCGUUGAAACUGGCGU